ensembl:lncRNA
CACUAAUAUCACAGGAGGAACGUGUGCACAUCCUUAUCAAAACACUUAAUGUAACAGCUUGUAGGAAUCACACAAAUCCUGCAGAGGAAGUCUUUUAUUUUAAUAUGGAGAACAUAAACAGAUGAUUCUUGUAGGUCUGUCACUUUUCACAUUAAUAAACAAACCCCAAACACUAACUCAGAAAACUACAGAUAUAAAAGAGGGAUUUUCAACAUAAAGGCAGAUUUUAUCUGAUUAAACACCUAAUUCAUCAAAUACAGACAGAGGAGUGAAGUGUUUGAAUACAGAAACAGUAUGAAUUGCAUAGUUUACCACAGGCUAGAUUAGGAAAAAACAAAAUACAACAAAAGAAAACAUGAGGGCUGUUGCCAAAUUAUGAACAGGAGAAAACAAAAAGGUUUAAAAACAGACUGACAUCACUGUGGAAUGUGGAGUGCAGGUCACACAGAAAUACAAGAGUCAUCGCAACACAGAUGGGCAAAAAUAACCCCACACACAGUCAGGUUAUGAUGUGAUGUACAACACAUGCCUAAAAGCUUUCGACCAUGUGAACAAAACAAUUAUUCGGAUCUAUUUCAUGGUCUGCUGGAUACUUGGAUACAGAGGAAGGAGUUUAAACUGUCACAGUGUUGCCUCAUCACGCUGGUGAGAAGCUGUUCCGAGGCUUCUGAUCGUUUUAUAGAUGAAUUGUGAAGUUUUCAAAAAGAUUAAAUAACUUGACAAACGAACUCGGCUCUUUACUGUGAGCCGAGCAUUUCAGCUACAAUGACGCAGACAACAAUUCUGGUUUUCAAACAUCAUCUCCUCCUCUUGUUUUGAAGUGACGACUGAUCAAUAAAACCCCUUUGCCUCACCUGACAACAGCUUAUUGCAUUCUUUAAAUGUUUGAUCCAAGUCUUGGUCUCAUUGGACAUUUAACAGACAGUAUUAACAGAAACGAGGAAAAAAAAUACCCACCUAUAGACAACAAAAUAACCCCAUAAAUUAAACAAAAGCUCUAAUCAUAAAACCAACCCUGGAACCUGAUUUAUAGUGUACUGUGUUCUAUAGAGAUGAUCUGGCAUGCACUUUCUAACAAAAGUAAUCAAAUAAAGCUGCCACAACUCCCUGAAAGCACUAAUGCUAUAGCAGAUAUUUUUCAAGCAGCAACUUAAGAAGGUUAAAAAUGAAGCUAAAGCUUAAGUGCGAAAAACUGCAGUAAAUCAAGUAAAUCAAUCCCCAGAGUCCCAUGUUAAAAAACAAAAAGAAACUACUACCUUGGUCUCUAUAGAUAGUGUCCCCUCUCUGAAUGUGAUCACCUUUUUAAUUUUUAUAAUUCAGCUGGACAGUGGUAGUGGCAGCUUUGACUGUCGGGUGUUCUGACAAAGGUAGCUAGAGCCUAGUGUGGAAUUAUAGAAUUACAAAUGAUAUUGCGGCGUGAGUGGUACAGGUUAUCCAAGACGUUUGCGCAUGAGUUUUGUGAGUCAUUUAAUAUUUAUUUGUCUAUUUUUUAGCACUAAAUGUUCGAUAUUUGUGUGUCUUACUUUGCAUGUGUAAAAACUCUCAAUGCCACUUGCUAACUACAGUGGCUAGCGUUAGCUAAUGACUUAGCACUCUGCCUUUUUAUCCAAGUGUAAUCACCUCUGGUUCCAACUAACCAAACAUGGUGACAAUAAAUAUGCUAAUGUUAAAGCUUAAAGUUACAGCAUGUACAACUGCAGCUUGCAGUCAACUGAAUUCUGUUUUCUCAUCCCUCCUAAUUCAAGUGACAAUUCGAGUGACUAUUUGUUCCGGAGGAAACUGUAAAACUUUCUGAAAGGAGUCCAAUAUGUCAGUCUAAAGUAAAGUUUACUUCUGUCUGAUGACAAGGACACUGAUGUCAGUUGUUGAGGAUAUCGUAAACUUUUCUGUUGGUAAGUGCUGCUGUUUUUGUUGCUGUUAGCCUGUGUUAGCUGCUGUUAGCCUGUGUUAGCUGCUGUUAGCCAGCUUUAAUGAAACUUUAGGCGGCAGCCUCGCCUCUGUCAGUGCGCCCCAGGGUGGCUGUGGCUACAAUGUAGCUUGCCAUCACCAGUGUGUGAAUGGGUGCGUGAAUGGGUGGAUGACUGGAUAUGUAAAGUGCUUUGGGGUCCUU